rnacentral:rRNA from 1 species
UACGAAGGGGGCUAGCGUUGUUCGGAAUUACUGGGCGUAAAGCGCGCGCAGGCGGCUAUCCAAGUCAGUGGUGAAAGCCCGGAGCUUAACUCCGGAACUGCCAUUGAAACUGUUUAGCUUGAGGACGAGAGAGGUGAGUGGAAUUCCCAGUGUAGAGGUGAAAUUCGUAGAUAUUGGGAAGAACACCGGUGGCGAAGGCGGCUCACUGGCCCGAUACGUGACGCUGAGGCACGAAAGCGUGGGGAGCAAACAGGG